rnacentral:tRNA from 1 species
AGGAUUAUAGUUAAUAAUAACAUUUGAUUUGCAUUCAAAAAGUAUCUAAGGAUUAAUCUUA